GACGAACGCUGGCGGCGUGGAUUAGGCAUGCAAGUCGGACGGUAGAGCUUUAUCGUAAGAUAGAGUUUGGGAGUGGCGAACGGGUGAGUAACACGUAGGAAUCUACCCUUAAGACGGGGACAACCCAGGGAAACUUGGGCUAAUACCGGAUGAGAGUGCGAGAGAUUGCAUUUAAAAGGAUGGCGAAAGUUGUCGCUUAGGGAUGAGCCUGCGGUCUAUUAGUUAGUUGGUGAGGUAAGGGCUCACCAAGGCGAUGAUAGAUAGGCGGCCUUAACGGGUGGUCGCCCACACUGGGAUUGAGAUACGGCCCAGACUCCUACGGGAGGCAGCAGUCGAGAAUAGUCUACAAUGGCCGGAAGGCUGAUAGUGCGACGCCGCGUGAACGAGGGAGCCCUUCGGGUGUAAAGUUCUUUUCUAUACGAGCAGUGCUAUAUAUAUGGAUAGUAUAUAUAGAGGGAUAGUAGUAUAGGAAUAAGCAACGGCUAACUCCGUGCCAGCAGCCGAC
rnacentral:rRNA from 1 species